AAAUUGAAGAGUUUGAUCAUGGCUCAGAUUGAACGCUGGCGGCAGGCCUAACACAUGCAAGUCGAGCGGUAACACAGGGAGCUUGCUCCCGGGUGACGAGCGGCGGACGGGUGAGUAAUGUCUGGGAAACUGCCUGAUGGAGGGGGAUAACUACUGGAAACGGUAGCUAAUACCGCAUAACGUCGCAAGACCAAAGAGGGGGACCUUCGGGCCUCUUGCCAUCAGAUGUGCCCAGAUGGGAUUAGCUAGUAGGUGGGGUAACGGCUCACCUAGGCGACGAUCCCUAGCUGGUCUGAGAGGAUGACCAGCCACACUGGAACUGAGACACGGUCCAGACUCCUACGGGAGGCAGCAGUGGGGAAUAUUGCACAAUGGGCGCAAGCCUGAUGCAGCCAUGCCGCGUGUAUGAAGAAGGCCUUCGGGUUGUAAAGUACUUUCAGCGGGGAGGAAGGCGAUAAGGUUAAUAACCUUGUCGAUUGACGUUACCCGCAGAAGAAGCACCGGCUAACUCCGUGCCAGCAGCCGCGGUAAUACGGAGGGUGCAAGCGUUAAUCGGAAUUACUGGGCGUAAAGCGCACGCAGGCGGUCUGUCAAGUCGGAUGUGAAAUCCCCGGGCUCAACCUGGGAACUGCAUUCGAAACUGGCAGGCUAGAGUCUUGUAGAGGGGGGUAGAAUUCCAGGUGUAGCGGUGAAAUGCGUAGAGAUCUGGAGGAAUACCGGUGGCGAAGGCGGCCCCCUGGACAAAGACUGACGCUCAGGUGCGAAAGCGUGGGGAGCAAACAGGAUUAGAUACCCUGGUAGUCCACGCCGUAAACGAUGUCGACUUGGAGGUUGUGCCCUUGAGGCGUGGCUUCCGGAGCUAACGCGUUAAGUCGACCGCCUGGGGAGUACGGCCGCAAGGUUAAAACUCAAAUGAAUUGACGGGGGCCCGCACAAGCGGUGGAGCAUGUGGUUUAAUUCGAUGCAACGCGAAGAACCUUACCUACUCUUGACAUCCAGAGAACUUAGCAGAGAUGCUUUGGUGCCUUCGGGAACUCUGAGACAGGUGCUGCAUGGCUGUCGUCAGCUCGUGUUGUGAAAUGUUGGGUUAAGUCCCGCAACGAGCGCAACCCUUAUCCUUUGUUGCCAGCGGUUAGGCCGGGAACUCAAAGGAGACUGCCAGUGAUAAACUGGAGGAAGGUGGGGAUGACGUCAAGUCAUCAUGGCCCUUACGAGUAGGGCUACACACGUGCUACAAUGGCGCAUACAAAGAGAAGCGACCUCGCGAGAGCAAGCGGACCUCAUAAAGUGCGUCGUAGUCCGGAUUGGAGUCUGCAACUCGACUCCAUGAAGUCGGAAUCGCUAGUAAUCGUAGAUCAGAAUGCUACGGUGAAUACGUUCCCGGGCCUUGUACACACCGCCCGUCACACCAUGGGAGUGGGUUGCAAAAGAAGUAGGUAGCUUAACCUUCGGGAGGGCGCUUACCACUUUGUGAUUCAUGACUGGGGUGAAGUCGUAACAAGGUAACCGUAGGGGAACCUGCGGUUGGAUCACCUCCUUA
rnacentral:rRNA from 1 species